rnacentral:lncRNA from 1 species
UUUUGCCACCUAUAGCUCCAAUUGAAGUACCAUCUGUAGUUCCUCCUUCAACUCUCUUGCCUUCUUUUUUCAUAAUUUAAAUAAUCCAAGAAAACCAAAUAUCUUUCAUCUCAAGCUUUUUACGUCAAGUUCACCAAAUAUGUCAUAUUACAUGAAGUCUUGCUCGAAUAUGCACCAGGCACCUAGCUAUGGAAGAUAGAAUGGAAAUUGCUACAACAAAAUCUUAACUCUAAUAGAAUAUUAAAUAAACUCUAAUAAAACCUUAACAAUAUUAAAUAAGCUUUAAUUAAAUUCAAAAGAAAAUUUAAUGAAAUUAUAAGAGAAAUAAUAAAAAAUCUUAAAAGAGUUGAAAGAAAAUCCAGAAUAAACCUAAAAAUAAUCCUUUAGAAAUCCUAAAAAGUAAUAGAAUAAUCAUAAAUACAUCUUAAAUAAAUUUCAAGAAAGUCCUAAUUUAACUCUUGUUGAAACCCUAAUGGUCUUCAAUCAAAUCCUUAGACAAAUCUUAAGCUCUAAAUCAAUUCCUAGACAAAUCUUAAGCUCUAAAUAAAAUCCUAGAAAAAUCCUAAACCUAAACCAAAUGCAUGACCAAUCCUAAAUUCUAAACCAAAUUCUAAACCAAUCCUAAAUCCUAGACCAAAUCCUAGACAAAUCUUAAAUCCUAGACCAAAUCUUAGACAAAUAAUAAAUCUUUAAUUAAACCUUAGAUAAAUCAUAAAUCCUAAAUCAAAUCCUAAAUAAAUCCUAAAUUCUAAAUCAAACCUUAGAUAAAUCCUAAAUCCUAAAUCAAAUCCUAAACAAACUCUAAAUCCUAAAUUAAAUCCUAAAUAAAUUCUAAUCAAAUUCUAAAUCCUAAAUCAAAUCCUAGAUAAAUCCUAAAUCCUAAAUUAAAUCCUAAAUAAAUACUUAAAUCUAAAUCAAAUCCUAAACAAAUCCUAAAUCAUAAAUCAAAUUUUAAUCAACUCAAU